AGAAGGUGGCAGUCUAUAAGGCCAGAAGACAGCCCUUGCCAGAACCCCAAUCUUGGUCUUUCAGUCUCCAGAAUUAGGAGGAAUAAAUGCCUGCUGUUUCAACCAUACAGCUGAGUGGACUAUGGUGGAGGCCUGCCCUAUGCCCCUUGUCUAAAGCAAAGGUACCCACCUGUUGGCAUCACUUGUCACAGGCAGCACUGUUUUUGUCAUUGUCUCAUGUACCUGAGGCAGGCAUAUGGUCUCCUUUGCCAGGUCCCCAGCACAGGGCCCCGGGUGCAUAGUGGACAUGUGUGAAAUGGAUGAGUGCCUGGUGGCCCCUUUCACCCUUGGUCAGCCCAGCAUCCCUUGUUGUCCCUUGCCCUUCAUGCAUCCCAGUCCUCCCCAGAGCCCAGGCAGAUGGAAGGAGUGAAAGCCCGUUCCUACCUGGGGUAGGAACUGUCCAAGGAAAUCGGUGGUCAAGUGGAAUGUGGAUCGCUUUGGCAGCUGUAGAAAGAGAAAAAAAAUGGUCUUGUAGAUCAGGAGGUGGAGGCAAAUGCUACUUGGGGUGAGAGACUGCAUGUGUCACUGGAUGAUGGUGCCACUGUACAGGACAACAGUCCCCAACCCUCCAACCUCUGCCCGCUACACCAGAAGGAGUGGGCGUGGUCAAUGAAGCCUGCCCCGAGGAAGUCUUAUCUGCUGUGAACCAAUCACAGGACAUCCUGUCUCAGUUAGCCCACCUCCACACCCACAUCCUCCAAUCAGGCCUGCCCCAGGCCACCUACUCCUCACUGCGAGUCCAGUCCCUGUCUCUGAAUGCUGAGUCACACACCCGAUGGGCCGAGCUGGCUGUCUGAACAGGCUGCCUCUGCAGACGCAUCCGAGUGGCCCACACAAAGGAGAGUCUUGGAAUCACCUCUACACAGGGCAGUAGCUGGAUUGGGAUCUGGUUGUGCCUAAAAUCUGGUGACAUUGCCAUGCGUGCCUCUCUGCCUCCCUGCCACUGUACAGGAGGGGAUGCUGAGGCACAGGGACGUGAAGUGACCUGCCUAAGUGACACGGCCGGCAAGUGGCAGAGCCAGGCCCCGAACCUAGGCAUGCAGAGUCUGGGGCACACGCCCAGCCAUGCUUCUGGCUCUGCCUGUACCUGGCUGACAGAAUGGAGCCCAUCAAAGAGCAGCCAGACUCCGAGUGCUGUUUCCGCUGUCUGGGGAGCAGAAUGGAAAGGAGCUAAACUUUUGCUCUCACCUUAUCUGCCCAGAAAGGGAAAAUAAAUGCCGACAAGACGGGGCGGAGAGGUCAACGGGAGGCUGCUGUUUUUCCAGCUGCGAAGAGGCCACUUCCUCCAGCCUCCCUGAGCCAACCCUGGGCUGGCCGCAAAGAGCCAAGACAAUGUGUGAUCAUUGUGGGAAAAUCAGGGAACACAGGGAGCAAAAGAAAAUAAAGAUCAGUCGUAACCCUUGUCACCAGAGUCUUUGAGUGUUUUGUCUAGCAGUUUUUCUUUCUACCAGUGUGUGGCGUACUUGUGCAACGUGGCUAUUCACAUCAAUAUUGUGACUGCUUUUUCAUGUCAUUAAAUGUUCC
ensembl:lincRNA